rnacentral:rRNA from 1 species
CCUACGGGAGGCAGCAGUGGGGAAUAUUGGGCAAUGGAGGAAACUCUGACCCAGCGACGCCGCGUGCGGGAUGAAGGCCUUCGGGUUGUAAACCGCUUUCAGCAGGGAAGAAGCGAAAGUGACGGUACCUGCAGAAGAAGCACCGGCUAACUAUGUGCCAGCAGCCGCGGUAAUACAUAGGGUGCAAGCGUUGUCCGGAAUUAUUGGGCGUAAAGAGCUCGUAGGUGGUUCGUCACGUCGGAUGUGAAAAUCUGGGGCUUAACCCCAGACCUGCAUUCGAUACGGGCGAGCUUGAGUAUGGUAGGGGAGUCUGGAAUUCCUGGUGUAGCGGUGGAAUGCGCAGAUAUCAGGAGGAACACCAAUGGCGAAGGCAGGACUCUGGGCCAUUACUGACACUGAGGAGCGAAAGCGUGGGGAGCGAACAGGAUUAGAUACCCUGGUAGUCCACGCCGUAAACGGUGGGCACUAGUUGUGGGGACCUUCCACGGUCUCUGCGACGCAGCUACGCAUAGUGCCCGCCGUCGGGAGGUACGAGUCGCGAGAAGUUAAACGUUAAAGGUAAAGUUAGUUACGGUACGUUGUUAGACGUUGCCGACGGACGACGACGAGGGAGGAGG